rnacentral:rRNA from 1 species
AACGAACGCUGGCGGCAUGCCUCAUACAUGCAAGUCGAACGAAGUCUUCGGACUUAGUGGCGCACGGGUGAGUAACAUGUGGGAAUCUACCUAAAGGUUCGGAAUAACUAUGGGAAACUGUAGCUAAUACCGGAUGUGUCUGCAAAGAGAAAGAUUUAUCGCCUUUAGAUGAGCCCGCACUAGAUUAGCUAGUUGGUGAGGUAACUGCUCCACCAAGGCUACGAUCUAUAGCUGAUUUGAGAGGAUGAUCAGCCACACUGGGACUGAGACACGGCCCAGACUCCUACGGGAGGCAGCAGUAGGGAAUAUUGGACAAUGGGGGAAACCCUGAUCCAGCAAUGCCGCGUGAGUGAAGAAGGCCUUAGGGUUGUAAAACUCUUUCAUCAAUGAUGAUAAUGACAUUAGUUGAAGAAGAAGCUCCGGCUAACUUCGUGCCAGCAGCCGCGGUAAUACGAAGGGGGCUAGCGUUGUUCGGAAUCACUGGGCGUAAAGCGUAUGUAGGCGGAUCAAAAAGUUAGAUGUGAAAUCCCUGGGCUCAACCCAGGAACUGCAUUUAAAACUAGUGAUCUAGAAUUUGGUAAGGGUUAGUAGAAUUUCCAGUGUAGAGGUGAAAUUCGUAGAUAUUGGAAAGAAUACCAGAAGCGAAGGCGACUAACUAGGCCAUUUUUGACGCUGAGAUACGAAAGCGUGGGUAGCAAACAGGAUUAGAUACCCUGGUAGUCCACGCAGUAAACGAUGAGUGCUAGUCGCUGGUUCAAUAGGAUCAGUGUCGAAGCUAACGCAUUAAGCACUCCGCCUGGGAAGUACGGUCGCAAGAUUA